rnacentral:lncRNA from 1 species
GGGGAUCUUUCGUUUUCAAGGGCGGUGUAUGUCGGGGCUGCAGCUCCGGGAUCUUCUAUUAAGUGUCGAGGCUGCGGCCUCGGGCAGUACUGCGAUGACAGCUCCAAGAGGUAGGGCUGCUUGUCGGCAUGGCUUGGGUGAGGACCUUGAAGUGCGGAAGCAGCAAGGUUGUCAGCUCCGUCAAUGCGCCCCAGUCGGGACUGUUGGACGACAUGUUGGGGCAGCGGCCCAGGAUGUGGUGCAGCGUUCGUGGUCUAUGUGCGGUUGGCCUGAGCAGCGUGAGUUGCGGGUAGCUGUAUCGUUCGGCGUAGUGCCGGCCAGGUUGUCGCUCAUCCAGGUUGCCGACCGGGAAGAGGUGUAGUGCCGGCCAAGACGAGAACAAGGGGAAGCUGCUUGGUUGUCUGUGUUCAUCAAAGGUGCUCUCUCUUUUCCAUCUUUCUUUUUAUUUACUUAAUCCUAGAUGGGUGACUACUAAUUUCCAUGUCUACUGGGAGGAAGAAGGUUGGCGGACGUAUCUUUGUGACUAUGUCAUUCACGUGCUUUGUUUCAACUCAUAAAGUGGAUCCUUUUUAAGCUAUAUCAAAUCAUAAGACAUAAUUUUCAGUUGAUUUUUUUCUUCUAAUUCCCAGAUUAUUGCUUCACAUAGACUAUUACAUAUUUAUGCUAGCCAAUUCGAAGCUUUGUCCCAAGGGCAAGCAUACCGUUGAAAAAAUAAAUACAUGUACGACAGAUCAGCCAACAACUUGUUGAUCUGUGAUUCUUUGAAAUUUGAUGCUUAUAACUGUUUAUAAGUCAGUAUUGUUCAGAGCCAAAGAUAAGUAACAAUCUAUUUGGUUAAGUUGAACACUUUCAGAUCAGGAGUAGUAGAAAUUCUUAAGGGCAUUGGGAUAUUGAACUGCAGGUACUAAUGCGUGUGUAGUUCAUGUCAAUCCAUCCUAUUAUUUCAUCCUUGUAGGCAUACUGCUCAUCUCCUUUUAAUACUAAUUCUCUUAAUUCUUUUCUGAUUUUUGUGGAGUUGUGCAGAUAGCUUCGGCAGGUUUGUUAGGCUAAUAUAAAGUAGGGACCUUUGCUACAUAAUGAUACAAAGAUGAUACCGAAGGUUGUUUUGCAACUAGCAAGGUAUUUUGUUUACAAGCUGAUUGUCAACUUUCUUAGAAAGAUACAUGGCUGUUGUGUCCUAUCAGACAAUAUUAAACUUUUGCUAUGAUAUUUCCUUAUGCAGUUUCAAGGUCACAUGGAUGCUGACAGCUCUCAGGUGUAUGGCCUAUUUGUUGCUGGGUAUUGUUGCCUUUCUUCCUGGUAUGCCAAUGUAUAUUGCUUCAGUUUUCAUAUUGAGAUUGAUACAAAACCUAGGCUCUGAAGUGCAAAUUGAGAAGAGGUAUGCUUAUUGUUGCCUUUCUUCGUGAUACCAGGUUUAUACAGCGGAGGAUCCUGAGUUGAUGCAUAUAUUGGCUCAAAAAGUAACUAGGCUCUGAAGUGCAGAUUGACAAGAGGUAUGCUUACUGUUGUCUGUGUCAGUCUAUCUACUCGAUCACCUUCAUAUCAACAAGUACAUUGGAGUUGUUUAUCUCAGUGCAUCAGAAUUGUUUCUUUCAUGCAGAGUUUCUGCUGCUAUUUGUUAAAUCUUAAAGAAACGUCUGAUCCUGAGGUUUACAAGUCCCCUUGUUCAAAUAUGAAAAUGAUUUAUUUGCAAACUUCAAUGCAAAAUGGUUAGUCAGUCUCGAACAACUGCAUCUAUAUAUACUUUCUAGUUAUGCUAUUGAUGCCACAUCCAGAUUACACUUUUCUUCUCUUUUUCUUUUCUUGGGAGUAGAAAGGUCUCACUCAAGGAUCGAGCAAAUGCAGUUCUAAUGCUUGUGUCGUCUAAUUCAAAGCAUGAUGACUUUAAAUGUUCAUGAAAUAUUUCUCCUCUUAAAUCUAAAAAACUAAUAUACAUAGAAGCAUGAAAAUUAGAUUUACUGGAUUUAUUGGAUUCUAUUUGUUGCAUAAUUUAUUGCAUAUUAGACAUAACGAUGCCAAUCUAUUAUAUACAGUAUCUUUGAACUAGGUUAGAAGUUGGCAUUUCUAUCAUGCGAGCUUCAGAGAAGGAUUAAUCUGAUUGUCCUUUGAUGUUCUAGAGUUUAGUUUGUUGGUUGCUUCAGUUAUGGUGGUGUUAUUUGGAAUAAUAAUGUCUUCAGGUGCUUGUAACAUCGGUAGAAUGGUGGAAUUCUAGCAGUCAUUAGUUUCAGUUUGUGUAUAAGAAAUACCAUCAACCUAUUAUUAGUGAGCUUUGUAUUGUUUUUCUCCGUGUUUACACCUCUCUUGCUCCAAGCCUGGUGAUUCAAUUCUAACAGAGGAGCUUGCUACGGCCAUCCAGGGGGCCAGGGCGAUUAGAUGCCCAUCACUCACGGCGGCAAGAAGUUCCGUGUCGAGUUGAUGAACCAGCACCAGCUGGGAGCCCGGAUGAAGAAGGUUGUCCCGCGGAGAAAAAGGAGAAGUGAUGAGAUGUUUUUGACAGCUAAUGGAUGAUGUUAUCUUAGUCUGUGAAUUUUUGUUUUGGUCGAUUUAGAAACCUUGUUUGAUGUCUGAAGAUCCCUUUUUGCCCACUGUUCAAACCAUCUCUUCAUUUUUGUGUAAAUGGUAACAAUACACUUCAAACAAUUAAGUUGUCAUCCCAAAAAAUAUUUUGUAAAAGGAUGUACUUAUCGCCUCAAUAAUCCUUAAUCGUCACGUAGAUUUCAUUUUCAUUUAAUUAUUUUUCAAAAUAGCGUAGAUAGUUUUCUUUAAAAUUACAAAUAUUUGAUAUAGUGUAUGUUAAUUGAGACAUGCGUUGCACGUGUUCCUUAAUGCAUCAAUCAUUUUCAAUUAGGACGGGAGUCUGAAAAAUGUUGUAAGGUUAUCGCCAUUGUUUGUUUAACUACAGAAGUCUCAAGAUUAGAAGCAUGAUCUUUUGUUUUUCAUGUUGCUCUACCU